CAUAUUUACCGGAGAUCUUUAGGGAAAUACACAGACUUCAAGAUGUUCUCUGAUGAGAUUUUGUUAUCAUUGACAAGAAAGGAAAAUGAUGAAGCAGCCAAGAAGAUUGCAAAAGAAGGACAGUUGAUGGCUAGGGACCUACUACAGCCACACAGGCUUUACUGCUACUAUUACCAAGUACUGCAGAAAUAUGCUGAGCGCCAGUCCAGCAAACCCAAAGUACGUGAUGGAAUGGAACUUAUUCCUCAGCCAGAAGAUAGCACAGCCAUCUGCCAGUGCCACAGGAAAAAGCCUUCAAGAGAAGAACUUUGAGUCAGCCCAGAUUCACACUCCUGUGUAUCCCGGCUACAUCUUUAAGGAAAGAUUGAAUCUAAGCUGUGAAGGACAGUACAGAAGACUGCACCAAGUGGACUAGUUCUCCCGGUGGCUUUAUAUAUGUAGGUGGAUAUAGCAGUACUGGUUGAGUAUCCCUUAUCUGAAAUGCUUAGGACCAGGAGUGUUUCAGGUUUCAGAUUUUUUCAGAUUUGGGGAUAUUUGCAUAGACAUAAUGAGAUAUCUUGGGGAUGAGAUCCAAGUCUAAACACAAAAUU
rnacentral:sRNA from 1 species